GUCGGGCUCUGAGGCAGACGAUGAAACGCAGCUGACGUUCUACACGGAGCAGUACCGCAGUCGCCGCCGCAGCAAAGGUUUACUGAAAAGCCCAGUGAACAAGACAGCCCUGACAUUGAUUGCUGUGAGCUCCUGCAUCCUGGCCAUGGUGUGUGGCAGCCAGAUGUCUUGUCCCCUCACUGUGAAGGUGACUCUGCAUGUGCCCGAGCACUUCAUAGCAGAUGGGGAAAAAAAGGAGCAUCUAAAGACCUUGGAAGAGGAUCUUAUCAUUUGGAGUCUGGAUUAUUUGAAUUAAAGACUACUUUUACUUUUUUAUUUUUUUUAUUUUUAUUUUUUCUUUUACUUUAAGUUCGGGGAUACAUGAGCUGAACGUGCAGGUUUGUUAUAUAGGUAUACAUGGGCCAUGGUGGUUUGCUGCACCUAUCAACCUGUAAUCUAGGUUUUAAGCCCCACAUGCGUUAGGUAUUUGUCCUAAUGCUCUCCGUCCCCUUUACCCCCCACCCCCUAACAGGCCCCAGUGUGUGAUGUUCCCCUCCCUGUGUCCAUGUGUUCUC
rnacentral:lncRNA from 1 species